GCAAAGUAAAACUGGGUUCCCUUUAAUUCCAGGCCCCGUGUCACAUGACUCACACAGCCAAUCAGCAGCAGGUCCCAUCAGAAGCCGUUAAUAUUUGGAGCUGGGGUUCAGAAACAUUCUGGAAGGUGAUUAUUUUUAUAGAAAACUGUUUUUUAAAUGAAUGUUUUCAUCUUCCUGAGGCUAAACGUCGUCAGCUGGAGGCAGACUGACUGAGUUUGCUGGGAUCAUCUUUCACCUCUGAACAGCUGCUGCAGCCCGUCUGGGGAAAACAUGGCCGCUGCAGCCCGUCUGGGGAAAACAUGGCCGCCGCAGCCCGUCUGGGGGAAACAUGGCCGCUGCAGCCCGUCUGGGGGAAACAUGGCCGCUGCGUCAGGAUGAAACUGCAGCGACUCGUUUCCACCUCCAAGCUGAAGUCUUUCAGUUCGAUAUGGAAAAAAAACAUUUUCUGUUUUUUCCAUGUUUUCCAAACUUCGGCAUCAUAAGUAUUGAACCGAAUCCCAAAGAGCAGAAAUGUUUGAUCCAAGUCAAACAGUCUGAAUGUAAAUUACUCCAGAUGGUGACCAGAUGAAUGAAAAUAAUUUUAGAAAUUCUAACGGAUCUACAGCUGGAGAGGUUUGGUCUGAAUGUAACCUGUGAGGCAGCAGAGAGCAGAGCGGACCGAGGACUCGUCCCUGAGGAACGCCACACACUGCAGCUCUAAAAAUCACCAGCUACAGUUAAUGAAUCAGAACCCGAGUCCAG